AAAAAAGCAAGGACCAAUAUUUCAGUAUGAACCAAAGAAAAUGACGAAAUUGUAUUAAAAUUUAGCGAUUGAUUAAACUGAAUCUGAAUCAUGUCAUCCUGCUCAAUCUGCCUGGAAAACAGAACCAACCCCCGCUGCUGUGUACCUUGUGGUCAUGUUUUCUGCAAAGAUUGUAUUGAAUCUUGGUCUGAAAACGCUAGAGAAUGUCCAGACUGCAGAAGACCCAUUGAUAGUUUGCAGUCUAUCUUUGGUUUGGAAGAAAGAAAACAUGAUUCUGAUGAAGCUAAAAAUCAACCGCCAGGAUACCUAAGCAAUCUCCCACUAUGCCACAGGAUUCCUCUGCAGAAGUAUUGGAUGUUUGUUCUAAUUGGGAUAAUCACUGUUGGCUUUGUGUUCUACAUGGAUCUGAACUCUUCCUCCAGUUAUAUUACAGCAAUACCAAGUGCAAUUCUGAACUUCUUGUGGGACAUCAUUGAAUUACUUGCUUUGCUUUUGUUUAAAUUGUUUAUGUUUCCAUUUCAGUUUUUGUUGAAUAUCAACAGUUAUUGUGACUCCUUUUCUUCUGCCCUGCAUCAUUUGUUUUGGUUCUUGAUUUAUGUUUUUAUCAUCGUUUUUGUUGUUUGGUAUUGUAUAAACACAGUUAAAGUUACAAAAGCUCGCAAAGAAUGGAAAAAGAAGCGUCAUUAAGAUUUUUUAAUGCACGAUGAAUUAAUGUUAAAAUUCCUAUAAAGUGAUUUUUUGUUGGGUUGAUCAAAUCCAUGACAUUUUGAUGCUAGCACAGUAGCAGCAUGGUUAGUAUGGUUUAUCAUACCCCUCUUGAUUUUUAAUAGAAAUUUAAAGUUUACUUCAAAAUUGCAUCCCUGUCCCUUAAAUGUGCAUAAUUCCAAAUCAUUUUAAAGGAAAGUCUAUUUUUAUUUUAACCAUUUCUUUAAUGAACUGCUUCUACUUCUAAUUCUGUCCUUUUUUUUUGGCAUGUACAUGUAUUAUAAAGAUAGAGUAAGUUAAAAGAAAAGCGAGGUCUGGAUCUGACUUUUACCUAGCUGUAAUCCUUUGCUAACAGGUUUCUCAUUUUGUUAUUUAAACCUUUUAGCUUCUAUUCAUUUUUUAUAAAUGUGUUUGGCAUUGACAUUGUAUAUCAAAUCAGUGAAAGUAUAUGUAUGCUUACUGAUAUUUGCAAAAAUAUAUGAUCAUUUUGCUGCUCUUUAAAAAUAAAAUUACCAUAGGAUAUAGAUGUACAGUGUUUACUGCAAUAAAUUGUUUACAUAUAUGUCCUCAUA